GCCCCGACUCUAGCGAUCGCAUCAACGAACGAUCCGAUGUCAGUCGUCUCGACAGUAGGUCGAGCAUGCACAUUGGGUCGGAGGUCGGCCAACCUCCGAACGUUGCUCGUCGACACGAUCAUUCCGUAGAGUCUGAUAGUCGAGUAGCGUCCGACGUAUUCGGAUAGGAUAAUAAUAGCAAGUCGAAUAUCCAUUGUCCGACCCUUGGUCGGGCGUGCACGUCGGGAUGUAUGAUAAAUGGUG
rnacentral:lncRNA from 1 species